AGAGCCCUUUGCUCCUCCCUCAGAAUGAAUGGGGACCAGAAAUCAGAUGUUUAUGCCCAAGAAAAGCAGGAUUUCUUUCAGCACUUCUCCCAGAUCGUUGGGGUGCUGACUGAGGAUGAGAUGGGGCACUCAGAGAUAGGAGAUGCUAUUGCCCGGCUCAAGGACGUCCUGGAGUACAAUGCCAUUGGAGGCAAGUAUCACCGGGGUUUGACGGUGCUAGUAGCGUUCCAGGAGCUGGUGGAACCAAGGAAACAGGAUGCUGAUAGUCUCCAGAGGGCCUGACUGUGGGCUGGUGUAUGGAACUGCUGCAAGCUUUCUUCCUGGUGACAGAUGACAUCAUGGAUUCAUCCCUCACCCGCUGGGGACAGAUCUGCUGUUAUCAGAAGAUGGGCAUGGGGUAGGAUGCCAUCAAUUAUGCUAUCCUUCUGGAAGCAUGUAUCUACUACCUGCUGAAGCUCUAUUGCCAAGCACAGCCCUAUUACCUGAACCUGAUCGAGCUCUUCCUGCAGAUUUCCUGUCAGCCUGAGAUUGGGCAGACCCUGGACCUCAUCACAGCCCCUAGGACAAUGUGGAUUUUGGCAGAUUCACUGAAAACAGGUACAAAUCUAUUGUCAAGUACAAGAUAGCUUUCUACUCUUUCUACCUUCCUGUAGCUGCAGCCAUGUACAUGGUAGGAAUCGAUGGUGAGAAGCAGCACGCCAAUGCUUAGAAGAUCCUACUGGAGAUCGAGAGUUUUUUCAAAUUCAGGAUGGUUACCUUGACCUCUUUGGGGACCCCACUGUGACCCGCAAAGUUGGCACUGACAUCCAGGACAACAAAUGCAGCUGGCUGGUGGUUCAGUGUCUGCAACGAUCCACUCUGGAACAGUACCAGAUCCUGAAGGAAAAUUACGGACAGAAGAAGGCCAAGAAGGUAGUCCAGGUGAAGGCACUGUAUGAGGAGCUGGAUCUGCCGGCCGUGUUCUUGCAGUAUGAGGAAGACGGUUACAGCCACAUUAUGGGUCUCACUGAACAGUACGCAGCGCCCCUGCUCCCAGCCAUGUUUCUGGGGCUUGUGUACAAAAUCUACAAGCAGAAAAAGU
rnacentral:lncRNA from 1 species